AUGGAAUGGCUAUGGAAAAUCCUCUUCCUGCUCACAGUGGCCACAGGUGUGGACUCCCAGAAGCUAGUGCAGUCUGGGCCUGAGUUGAGGAAACCUGGGACAUCAGUGAAGAUCUCAUGCCAGGCAUCCGGAUACACCUUCACAAGCUACGAUAUAAGCUGGGUGCAGCAGCGCCCUGGACAAGGGCUUGAGUGGAUGGGAUAUAUUAACCCUAGUAGUGGUGGUACAAACUACGCACAAAAGUUCAAGGGCAGAGUCACCUUCACUGCAGACAAGUCCACCAGCACAGCCUACAUGGAAAUGAGAAAUCUGACGCCUGAGGACACAGGCACAUAUUUCUGUGCGAGAGACACAGAGAGCACUACACUUUGGUGUGUGCUUCUCCUGAGUGGGAAUGUGGCACAUCCCUAUUUUAAAUUGGAACUGAUCCUUUUACAUUUGGGAUCUACAUGA